rnacentral:lncRNA from 1 species
UGGAGCAGAUGUACACGGAGAUGGCGUCGCGGCACCGCGUGCGUGCCCCCUGCAUCCAGAUCAUCAAGACUGCGACGGUGGACUUCAAGCUGUGCAAGAGGGACAACACGAAGCAGUUCCACAACUCGAAGAUCAAGUUCCCGCUGGUGUACCAGAAGGUUCGCCCACCCACCCGCAAGCUCAAGACCACCUACAAGGCGACGAGGCCCAACCUCUUCAUGUGAGCGGGUCCCUACUCUACUGGCCUGUGUGUUUUAGCGUGUAAGAGUUUGAAGAUUUUUGCAUGUGGAAGUUUUGGUUAAGCACUUAGAUGAUGUUUUCGGUCGCUAAGGAUGCUGCUGCUUUGAUGCAACUCUUGACUUUGUUUGGUAUUAGUAAUGCGCAGCAGAUCCAUCAACUGCUAGCCCUCAGCUGCUAUGUUUUGGUUUGGUCUGCUUUCAAAUGCAGUCGACAAGUCUGAUGCCUGAAAUUAUUCCGUGCGCCCACCCUUUUAGGGCUGGUUAUUAGCGAAUGUAGACUGAAAUGAGUUAGCAAACGCAUUGAAACUUACAUCUGAUUCAGGAACGUCUAUAUGCACAUCUUAUAGGGAAAAUACACAGGAGCUUCAAAACAUACCAUGAAACGUUAAAAAAAAGGAAUUUUGGGUGCCAGAUCUACUCCGUGUGGAGUUCCGUGAAGAAAUGACAUUGAGAGCUCCAAAUCCUCAUGAGUAGGUACAGAAAUUUCUUCAUUUCAGGAAUAAAUAGGCAUGGACAUACCUGCCUACCAUACUGGUUGUUAAGUGAGUGGCAUAGUUAAAAUGUCGCUGCUUUAUUCGGGAAAUAUCAAAGGAAANNNNNNNNNNNNNNNNNNNNNNNNNNNNNNNNNNNNNNNNNNNNNNNNNNNNNNNNNNNNNNNNNNNNNNNNNNNNNNNNNNNNNNNNNNNNNNNNNNNNNNNNNNNNNNNNNNNNNNNNNNNNNNNNNNNNNNNNNNNNNNNNNNNNNNNNNNNNNNNNNNNNNNNNNNNNNNNNNNNNNNNNNNNNNNNNNNNNNNNNNNNNNNNNNNNNNNNNNNNNNNNNNNNNNNNNNNNNNNNNNNNNNNNNNNNNNNNNNNNNNNNNNNNNNNNNNNNNNNNNNNNNNNNNNNNNNNNNNNNNNNNNNNNNNNNNNNNNNNNNNNNNNNNNNNNNNNNNNNNNNNNNNNNNNNNNNNNNNNNNNNNNNNNNNNNNNNNNNNNNNNNNNNNNNNNNNNNNNNNNNNNNNNNNNNNNNNNNNNNNNNNNNNNNNNNNNNNNNNNNNNNNNNNNNNNNNNNNNNNNNNNNNNNNNNNNNNNNNNNNNNNNNNNNNNCCAAAGGCCCUGCUGCUUAAUUGGCUCGCCGGCAAUGCCAUUGAGUAUGAUCAUCGAGGAAAAGGAGCUAAGGAGGGUUGCUAUCCAAUCCCUAAGUUUGCUUGGGAAUCCUCGUCGUUGGAGUAGGCAGAGCAAAUACCCCCACUUAACAGUGUUGAAGGCCGUGCGGAUAUCAGCGAGACUGCGAAAAUACAAGAAGUUGUUAUGAAUGCUUGUUGUUUUGAUGAAAGUGCUUUGGGUGUUGUAGACGAGACUUGUCACGUGGGGACCAAGCCUUAGGAAGAGCACUCUCGCAAUAUUUUUUGCAAUCGCGUGGAUGAGGCUGAUGGGUCUAUAGUCGGCGAUUUGCUUCGCCCCUUCCUUUUUAGACAGAAGCACCACAUCCUCGGAGUUGAGCCACUGGAGGUUUGCAGUGUGAAGUGAGUCAAAAUUACUAAUGUCCCUCACGAGGUCGACUUUGACAAUGUUCCAACACUUCUUGAAAAAGAGGCCCGUGAAAGCCAUCCGGCCCCGGGGCCUUGUCACUUGGCAUGUCAUUGAUCGCAUCAAGGACAUCUCUUUCGGUCAUCAGGAAGUCAAUGCCAUGUAGGUCGAUUGAUUCCAAAUUUAGCCCCUCACAGUUGAAAUCUUUGCGGCUUUUGGGGCCUCUCUUCAUGACAUUGGAAAAAUGAUCUUGGAUUAGCUUCUCUCUGGCUUCGUGCUCGGUGACCCACCCCUGCUUGUUCUUACCUUUUGUCAUCGCCAUUGAUUAGCUCCAAAGAAUUCUUGAGGUUGCUACGAGAGAGGGGCUCCUUCGUAAAGUUAGGGGAAGGGGAGCCAUGAAGAGGAUCUCUCUCUCUCUCUACGCGGAUGACGCGACCGCCUUCUUGGCCCCAAUCAAAAGAGACGUGGACAACCUUGCAAGCAUUUUGAGGGGCUUCGGGGAGGCCAUGGGUCUAUGCACCAAUUUCCACAAGAGCUCGCUUGUGCCCAUUCAUUGCAACCACCUCAAUUUGGGUCGCCUAACCCAAGGAUUGCUAGCUACAAGGGCUUCCUUCCCUUUGCGAUACCUGGGGCUCCCUUUCUCAGUUUGGCAACUAAAGUCGGUGGAUUUUCAGUUUUUAGUGGACAAGGUUGCGAGCAAGCUAACAACUCAUGAGGGCAAACCGGAAAAGCAUCACCACCAUCGGACAAACGACUCUAGUCAAGUCCAGGAUCACCUCCCAGAUGGUCUAGCCUGCCACACCGUUGGUCAUCCAGCCGACCAUCCUUCUCAAUGUAAACAAGCUCGAGAUAACUUUCCUAUAGUCCGGGUCGAACAAGACGAUUGGGGCAAAACGCGAGGUAAAUUGGCAGAUUAUCUGCCGACCACUCCAAUAUGGAGGACUCGGGGUUCUCAACACCAACAAGUUUACACGUGUUCUCCGGUUGCAAUGGUCGUGGUAUGGAUGGAAGGAGCCUGUCAAGAUGUGGGUGGGGAUGGAGAACCCAUGUGACGAGGAGGACCUAAAUUUUUCUAUGCUUCCACCACUAUCAUCGUUAGUAAUGGUGCGAAGACCCCGUUCUCGGACUCUCCUUGGCUUCUUGGGAGCAAGCCAAAGGACAUUGCCCCGCUCAUUCAUGAAGCAUCCAAGAGAAAUAAUUGGAUGGUUCAGGAGGCCCUCAAGCACAACACUUGGAUUUUCAAGAUCAAACCUCCUGCCAACAUCUCCGUGGAGCACAUCACACAGUUCUUUACCCUUUGGGCGCUCUUGCAUGAGGUCCAACUCGAUGAGCUCUCCGAGGACGACAUCCUAUGGAAACAUAUGGCUAGUGGGCUCUACUCGGUGGCUUUCGGAUACUAGGCGCAAUUCCUAGGGAUGGUUCUCCCACCUAUGGACAAAAUGGUUUGAAAGGCUUGUGCUCCUCGAAAAGUCAAGUUCUUUGCGUGGUUAGCUCUACGAGAUAUAUAGAAUCUGGACCGCGAUAGAUUGGCAAAGUGUGGGUGGCCCAACUGUGAUUUUGCCCUGUUUGCAAGGGAGUGCAAGAAUAUGGGACUCACCUCGUCUACAAAUGCCGCUACACCCCAAGGCUUUGGUCCUUGGUCAUUGACAAAUACCACAUUCUCGGGCUUGGCAUAACCGCUUGGCCCUUGUUCGACUCGGUUGAGGCUUGGCGGGCAAAUACUUGCGACAACGGCACAUGAAACUGUAGGAUCGAAAGUAUGUCUAGAGGGGGGUGAUUAGACUACUUGACCAAAUAACAACCUUGCCUUUUUCCAAUUUUAAUUCUUGGCAGAUUUUAGCAACUUAGCACAAGUCAAGCAAUCAACCUACACAUGCAAUUCUAGAGUAUAGCAGCGGAAUGUAAAACAAUUGCAUAUGAAGGUAAAGGGGAGGAGUUUGAGGAGGCAAACACAAUUAGGAGACACGGAGAUUUUUGAGCCGUGGUUCCGAUGGGUGGUGCUAUCGUACAUCUACGUUGAUGGAGACUUCAACCCACGAAGGGUAACGGUUGCGUGAGUCCACGGAGGGCUCCACCCAAGAAGGGUCCAUGAAGAAGCAACCUUGUCUAUCCCACCAUGGUCAUCGCCCACGAAGGACUUGCCCCACUAGGGGUAGAUCUUCAUGAAGUAGGCGAUCUCCUUGCCCUUACAAACUCCUUGGUUCAACUCCACAAUCUUGUCGGAGGCUCCCAAGUGACACCUAGCCAAUCUAGGAGACACCACUCUCCAAGAAGUAACAAAUGGUGUGUUGAUGAUGAACUCCUUGCUCUUAUGCUUCAAAUGAUAGUCUCCCCAACACUCAACUCUCUCUCACUGGAUUUGGAUUUGGUGGAAAGAAGAUUUGAGUGGAAAGCAACUUGGGGAAGGCUAGAGAUCAAGAUUCAUAUGGUAGGAUUGGAAUAUCUUGACCUCAACACAAGUGUAGGUGAUUAUCUCUCAGAAAAUGUAAGCUGGAAGUGUAGGCAUGUUCUGAUGGCUCUCUCCACGAAUGAAGAGUGGGUGGAGGGGUAUAUAUAGCCUUCACACAAAAUUUAACCGUUACACACAACUUACUAAACUCGGUGGGACCGAAUCGUUAAACUUGGUCAGACCGAUUUAGCAAAUAAUGUGACCGUUAGGACUUUCGGUGGGACCUACAUGUCAACUCGGUGGGACCGAUGUGGUUAGGGCUGGGGCAUACCAUAAUCUCGGUGAGACCGAUUACACAAACUCGGUGGGACGAUUUUGGUAAUAAGCUAACAAGAGAGUUGGUCAGACAAACUCGAUGGGACCGAUUCGCUCAUCUAGGUUAGACCGAAACGUUAUGAAAGGGAAACAGAGAGUUUGCAUUGCAGUCUUGGUGGGACCGAUCGCUCAUCUCGGUUGGACCGAAACGUUACGAAGGGAAACAGAGAGAUUACAAUCCCAUCUCGGUGAGACUGAUAUCCCUAUCGGUGAGAUCGAAAAGACUAGGGUUUGUGGCAGUGGCUAUGGCAUCUGAACUCGGUGGCGCCAGAUAGAAAGAAUCGGUGGGGCCGAGUUUGACUUUUGGUUUAGGUCAUAUGUGGAUGUGAGAAAGUAGUUGAGGGUUUUGGAGCAUCUCAGUAAGAAUUUUGAGCAAGAACCUCAUUAAGCAACACCUCACCCCUCCUUGACAGUAUUGGCUUUUCCUAUAGACUCAACGUGAUCUUGGAUCACUAAAAUGGAAAAAAUAGAGUCUUGUGCUUUGAGCUUGAGCCAAUCCUUUUGUCCUUAGCAUUUUGAGGGGUCCACUUUUCUCAUCCAUGCCAUGCCAAUCAUUGAGCUUUCCUAAAAUAUUUUCCUUGAAAUAGCAUUAGCUCAAUGAUCUAUAUGUUGUUAGGAAUUACCAAAACCACCCAGGGAUAGUUGCACUUUCAAUCUCCCCCUUUUUGGUAAUUGAUGACAACAUAUAUAUCAAAGCUUUGAAAAAUGAUAAUAAGAUUGAAAAACAUUGUCGCUUUGAGAAGUAUGUGAAAAGUAAGAGCUCCCCCUAAAUUUGUGCAUUAUUUAAGAUUUGCUUUGGACUGCAAAUGCACAAUGAGUUAGGAUCAUGGGUUACUCUUCCACGUCACAUACAUCUUGGUGGAGUGCUUAAAAUGAUAAUAGUUAAACACAUGCACUCAUCACCAAGCAAAGUGAAUGAUCAUAUGAGAAUAUGAGAGAUAAUAUCAUCCAACAAGCAUUAAUGUAGCAUAGCAUAUGAUCAAACACAUGAUCAUCCAAGUAUCUCACAAAAGACAUAAUGUAUCAAGCAAACAAGCAAACAAGAAGUUCAACCACCAAAAAUAAGAGAGAACAAAAGCAACACUCUCUCUCGAAGCCUAUGAUCUAUACAUUUUUCUGCCCCUUUGGCAACAAGUUACCAAAAAGUUCAUAGAAAAUGCAUAGUGCUAAACGACUCUCAGGCUUGAUCUUCAGGUGGUGGUGUAGAGAUGACUCCAAGGACAAAAGCAUCAGUCGAUGAAGAUGGAGCUGGUGGAGUGACUGCUGGAGCUGGUGGCACUGAAGCUGUAGCUGGUGCAGAUGAUGUAGCUCUGGUAUCUGGGAUAGGCACUGCAGCAGAUCUCUGUCCUCUGGGCACCCUAGCAAAUGCAUGUGUAGUAGUCUUGCCCUUCUUCUCCUCCAAUUCCUCCUGAAGUUGCUCAAUAACUGAUUGGAUCUCAGUGACCUUCACAUCAAGAUCAUAGAACUUCUGCUCGAUGAUUCUCUCCAAACUCUCCUGGUUUUGAGUCAGGGUGGCCAAGCCCUUCUCAAUCCUCAAGGUGGAGGCAAUCAAGUAGCCAAGCUGAUCUUGCUUGCUCUUCAGGAAAUACUGAGAUGCCUCUUCAGCAGUUGGCAUCCUAGUUGCUUUCUCAGCCCUUGCUUUCUCCUUCUUCUCUUGUGCUUGCACAGAUGAUGGUUCAUUCUCAUCCAUCACAAUGGUGUUGUCCUCAAAGUCAGGGUAGAUGGGCAAGUGCUCUUUAUCAAAAAGAUAUGUGCCAGUGCCCAUCUUGGAGUUUAUGAGCUCCUGAAUUUGUGGGGCAUAUCCACAUGAUCUCUUCUGAUCAGCAGCAGACCUUUUGAUUGUUUCCACAAUCAGACUCAUGACUUUGAAUUUCUAAGGCACAUCAAAUAUAUGUAGCAUGUUGAUUGCAUGGCCUCUGAUCAUCUUGUGAUCUCCUGACUUGGGCAACAGAGUGUGCCUUAAGAUCCAGUUGAUAGUUAGCAAUCCUGACAACAGAUAAUGUACUGAUCCAAGCUUAUGUGUCUCUAGAGCAGCAUCUGGGAUCUCCCUAUACAUUUGAGCCAUAGAGUUGUGGUCUUUCUUCUUGGUGGCAUAGACAUCCAAGUCAUCCUCAGUCUCCUUUGGAGCAUUUAUCAAUUCAGACCAUUCCUCAACUGUAGAUUGGUACCUUGUACCCUCAGACAUCCAGACAAUUCUCCCAUCUGGGUAGAAGUGAGUUGUAGAGUAAAACUGCAUGAUGAGCUCAUCAUUCCACUUGGUGAGCUUCUGGCCAACAAAGUCAUCUACUCCACAAGCGUUGAAAUUGUCAUACACUCCUGGAUAAUGCUCUUCAUUCUUCUUGAUCUACUCCCAGUCAACCCAUCUCAUAUCACAUACUAUGGGCUUCUUGUCAAGCAAAACUGUCUCAUAGAAAUCCUGCUGUUCUUUAGUGUGAAACCUGUAGUCCACAACAGUUCUUCUUCUGACAGCAUAGGGAUCAGUUUGUCUCCACAGUCUCAGACCUGCAUCCUUCCUGAGCUUCAUGUCCUCAGCUACUGGAUGCGCAUCAUUAUGAUCAGGGAUCUUAGGCUUCAACUUUCUCAAAACAAGUGAUUCAUCAUCUUCUUCAUCAUUAGCUGCCUCAGGCACUAGGGCCUUGUUCUUUUCUUCAGCUGGUAUGUUCCUAGUGCUCCUCUUAGGUGCAAUCUUGGGCUUAGGAGCAGCAGCUUUGGGAGCAUCUUUGGGCUUAGAUGGAGCAGCCCCUGAUCUGAUUGCAUCUCCCAUCAACUUCUGAGCUUUAGGUGCUGGUGCAGCAACCUCUUCCUCUUCUUCCAUCAUAGAGGGCUUUCCAACAACUCUGGAAACUGUCUUCUUCCUUAUCCUAGUAACUACCUUGGGCAGGUUACUAGGUGUGCUCCUGCUACCCUCAUCUAAGGUACUGGAGGGACUAGUGCCCUCACUCAUCUGUACUUGCUCCUCUGACCUGUUCUAACUGUCACUCUGAUCUGACAUGAUGCAAACUUCUGACAGCAGACCCUGCGAAUAGAUGUGGAUGAGGUAGAGUAGAUGAGCAUCACCAAGUACGAAUAUUUUUGCAAAACAUUGAGUCAAAAACUUAGUUUUAGUUUUCCAAAGAAAGCAUUUCGGAGCUACCGAUUUGUAAACUCGGUGAUACCGAAGUAGCUUUUGGAACCUAAACUAGUGAACUCGGUUGGACCGAGUCACAGUUCGGUGGCACCGAGACUGCUAGGGUUUCAUAGAGAAUCGAUAUUGGUCACACCGAUUUGCAAUUCUCAGUCGGACCGAGAACCACAUGUGCAAUAGCCUAAGCCAAAUCGGUGAGACCGAUUUCUACAACUCGGUCGGUCCGAGAUGAAUUCGCGGAAACCUAACCCUAAAUUUUCAAUCCAAGUCUAAACUAUGGAGUAUUUUCGCUGGAUAGGAAGAGUUCAAUCGUGGCAAGAUUUAUGGCAAUGCAAUGUGCUAGGAAUCAGAGUGAGAAUAGCACAAAGAUCAAGUCCAUACCCUAAUGUGACGGUGGACUUGCUACGGCGGCAACGAUGGAGCUGAAUUCUGUUGACGGCGGCGGAGACCAGCGGCGGGAGGUCGCUGGCGACGAGGAGGAUGAUUCAGAGACCCGAUGAGGCAGAGCAGGCUGUGCACAGGCAAAUAGUUUCAAAAGAAUUUCCAAAAAAAUCACCCGUGAGUAUAUAUAGCCUGACCGUGUUGGUGUGACCGAGUGAAACAACUCGGUGGCACCGAGAUGCAAAACUGCAAGCAGUUGCUGCAACUCGAUGUGACUGAAAAGUUCAAAUCCGUUGCACCGAGAUUGAAAACCUAGAUCAACUUAGUGAUCUCGGUAUGACCGAAAUGGAUGAAUCGGUCAGACCGAAAUGCACAAAGAGGUUUUGGAAGUUUAAGUCUUUGACAAAUCGGAAACUCCGAGUGCUCCUCACACAGAGUGGUUUGAAUCUGACUUGAUCAAACUUUGUGAUAUAGCAUGAAUAGAGUAUGAGACAAGAAGAGCAUAGAUAGCUAGAGAAGAUUCUUAGGCAUUCUUGUCCAUCCACUUGGCAAAAGAAAAGAAGCCAAACAAGCAAAACAACAAGUGGAUGUCCUCGAAUGAGUAAAAUAUGCAAACGACAUGCUCACACAAUAAAAUGGCAAAUGAAAUAUGUGACAAAGCAUGCACAACCAAUUCUAGCAUCUAUCAAGCAAUUGGCGAUGACUAGGUCAUCUAUAUAUGAGUAUAUUGAUUUAGGAGUCAAAUGAGAACAUUUGAUCAUAGGUCAUACUCAUCGUUUAAGCACAAGUGGGGUUACCACUUUUUCAUAAAGCAUUGUUAUGUUCACACCAUUAGAGUUGCUUUAGCUCAAUUCUUAGAGUAAAGCUCCCCCUAGAUGUGAGAUUCCCCCUUAGAGGGAUGAACUAACCUUGGGUUUUGUCAAUGAUGACUUCAUGUAGGUUUUGAAGAUGUGGAUGCUCUAUGUUGAUGUAGAUCAUUUGGAGCAAUCCUUUGGAGUGAGUUGUACUUUCAAUACCUACAUAGGUUAGUCCCACAAGGAACAAACAAGGAUAUCCAUAGACAUAGAGUGAUGCGCACACAAGAAGAUGUCUAUGAAAGCUUUAGGUUACCUUGUCCCUUGUCUUACCAACAAGAGGGUUUGUGACUCCAUGAACUAGUGCAAGAUGUGGAAGUUGAUUGCACUUGUCCUCGCCAAAAUGAUAAGAGUGAGGUAUAUUGGCAGAGUCACCCUCAAGAACUCUCUAGUUCUUCUUCUUCGGGAUCCACACCAUCUUGAUAGGAAUCCUUGGGGUUGAAGUCGUUCUUGAUGAAGUAAAACUUGAUGUAGUCUUGGGAACCCACUUGACCAAGGCCUUAGGAGCUUCUUCAAAUGCAUCAAUCUCCUCUUGAAGCUUGUCCUUGCCUUUCUGCUUGUGGUCUUGUGGUGGAAGAUCAUCUUGAGCUUGUGUCCCUUUGAAAGAAGUAGGAUCAUACUUCUCUUGUUGAGGAACAAACUUCGUCUUGGGGUAUUGAUCUUCUUCUCACUCGACUCCAUUGGCAUUGAACUUCCGUUCAAAACCAACACCUUGGUUCUUCCGGUGCCUUCCUUGCUUGCGUACAUUUUCCUCAAAUUGCUUACUCCCAGCAAGGCUCUUGUAAACACCUUUCUCUAUAAUUCCCUUCAAUAAGCUAUUUUCUUGCUCAAGUGUAACUUGGCUAAGAGAAUCAUUAGUGGAAUCAAGAGAACUAUUAGAAGCAACAACAUUAGAUUUAGCAUGAUGAUUGUUGUUACUACUAGAGGAAGAAUCCUUUUUGUUACUAGACUUGACUUGUGGCAUGUAAGUAGAGAAGAGUAAAUGCUUGGCAAUGUAAGAAGAACUUUUCUUGCGAAGAUCAUCAUUGAUAGCCUUUAAGAACUCAUGCUCUUGCUCAAGGUUGAGCUUCUCAAAGCGUAACUUCUUAUGAGUCCUUAAAUGUUCUUGAUUAUCUCCUAAGAUAGUUUCAUGAGCUAACUUAAGAGUGUUUAGUUCUUUAGUUAGGAGCUCAUGCUCUUGCUCAAGGUUGGGCUUCUUAAAGCGUAACUUCUUAUGAGUCCUUAAAAGUUCUUGAUGAUCUCCUAAGAUAGUUUCAUGAGCUAACUUAAGAGUGUUUAGUUCUUUAGUUAGGAGCUCAAUCUUCUCCUUAUCAUUGUCAUUCGUUUCAUCUUGAUUAUCAUGAUUAUAUGACGUUUCAUCAUAGUAUUCAUCACUAGAGUUGUCAAUAAGUAAAUCAUCAUCACCUAGCAAGUCAUCUUCAUUACUAUUGAAAUCAACAUACUCGGGGUGUAAUACCUUUGGGCAUUUAGCCAUGAAGCAUCUUCCAAGUCCUUCAUUUGGUGAGUCAAAUAUGUCAUAGGAGUUGGUUGACACAAGUGCUAGUCUGGCAACACCUUCAUCUUGAGUAUGUUCUGAGUCGGAGUGAUAGCUUCUCUCGGAGUGAUGGUCGGAGUCGGAGCCAGAUACCCAUUCACCAACAUGAGCUUGAUGUCUUCGUUUUGUAUAGAUCUUUGAUGACUUGUCCUUCCUUUCUGAAUCCUUGCUUCUCCGGGAUGUUCUUCGUUCAUAACGAUCAUCUCUACUCCUCCUCUCUCUUGGUGGUGAUUUUUCUCAUCUACUUCUUCUCUUUGGGGAUUCUUCUCUUCUUUUGUAGGGAGCCGUACACUCAUUGGAAUAGUGUCCGGGUCUUCCACAAUUGUAGCAAUUACGCUCACGACUCGAAGAUCUUUUGUCAUUGUUGGACCUUGACUUGGAACUUCUUUCCUUGCUUCUACUCUUGUAGAAUUUGUUGAAGUUCUUCACCAUUAGGCUCAAUUCUUCAUUGAAGGUUUGUUUCUCACUUGAUGAUGUGGGAGCUUCACAUGAGGCUUUGUAAGCACCACUUGACUUGUUGUGAAGCUCUUCCUUAUCCUUGAGUGACAUCUCAUGAGCAACAAUUCUUCCAAUGACUUCCGUUGGCUUGAGAUUCUUGUAAUUGGGCAUCAUUUGGAUCAAUGUGCACACGGUAUCAUAUUUUCCAUCCAAGGCUCUUAGGAUCUUCUUGAUGAUGAAUUUGUCGGUCAUCUCUUCACUUACUAAGCCGGCAAUCUCAUUUGUGAUGAGAGCAACCAUAGAGUACAUUUCAGCGACGCCUUCACCAUCCUUCAUCUUGAACUUGUCAAGUUGACUUUGAAGCACAUCCAAUUUGGAUUCCUUGACGGAGUCAGUACCUUCGUGCAUGUCAAUCAAAGUAUCUCAAAUUUCCUUUGCAUUCUCAAGACGGCUGAUUUUGUUGAAUUCUUCGGGGCAUAAUCCGUUGAAGAGGAUAUCACAAUCUUGAGUAUUGUAUUGCAGCAUCUUCAAUUCUUCCGCGGAAGCUUCACGGUUCGGUUCUCUCCCAUCAAAGAAUUCACCUUGCAAGCCAAUAUAGACAAUAGUCCAAACGGCGGGGUUAUGUCCAAGAAUAUGCAUUUUCAUCUUAUGCUUCCAACUAGCAAAAUUAGUACCAUCAAAGUAAGGACCUCUACCAUGGUAAUUUCCCUCACUAGACGCCAUACUCUCCUAGGUUGUGAAACCAAGGCUAUGACUGCCAAAAGCUAUGGAAAUCAAAGCAAAUGGAGACCAAAGCUAUAAUAUCACUUGUAGGAUCGAAAGUAUGUCCAGAGGGGGUUGAUUAGACUACUUGACCAAAUAAAAACCUUGCCUUUUCCCAAUUUUAAUUCUUGGCAGAUUUUAGCAACUUAGCACAAGUCAAGCAAUCAACCUACACAUGUAAUUCUAGAGUAUAGUAGAGGAAUGUAAAACAAUUGCAUAUGAAGGUAAAGGGGAGGAGUUUGAGGAGGCAAACGCAAUUUGGAGACACGGAGAUUUUUGAGCCGUGGUUUCGAUAGGUGGUGCUAUCGUACAUCCACAUUGAUGGAGACUUCAACCCACGAAGGAUAAGGUUGCGCAAGUCCACAGAGGGCUCCACCCAAGAAGGGUCCACGAAGAAGCAACCUUGUAUCCCACAAUGGCCGUCGCCCACGAAGGACUUGCCUCACUAGGGGUAGAUCUUCACGAAGUAGGCGAUCUCCUUGCCCUUACAAACUCCUUGGUUCAACUCCACAAUCUUGUCGGAGGCUCCCAAGUGACACCUAGCCAAUCUAGGAGACACCACUCUCCAAGAAGUAACAAAUGGUGUGUUGAUGAUGAACUCCUUGCUCUUGUGCUUCAAAUAAUAGUCUCCCCAACACUCAACUCUCUCUCUCUCUCACAGGAUUUGGAUUUGGUGGAAAGAAGAUUUGAGUGGAAAGCAACUUGGGGAAGGCUAGAGAUCAAGAUUCAUAUGGUAGGAUUGGAAUAUCUUGACCUCAACACAAGUGUAGGUGAUUCUCUCUCAGAAAAUGUAAGUUGGAAGUGUAGGCAUGUUCUGAUGGCUCUCUCCACGAAUGAAGAGUGGGUGGAGGGGUAUAUAUAGCCUCCACACAAAAUCUAACCGUUACACACAACUUACCAAACUCGGUGGGACCGAAUCGUUAAACUCGGUCAGACCGAUUUAUCAAAUAAUGUGACCGUUAGGAUUUUCGGUGGGACCGACAUGUCAACUCGGUGGGACCGAUGUGGUUAGCGUUAGGGCAUAACGUAAUCUCGGUGAGACCGAUUACACAAACUUGGUGGGACCGAUUUUGAUAAUAAGCUAAUCAGAGAGUUGGUCAGACAAACUCGGUGGGACCGAUUUUGGUAAUAAGCUAACCAGAGAGUUGGUCAGGCAAACUCGGUGGGACCGAUUCGCUCAUCUCGGUUAGACCGAAACGUUACGAAAGCGAAACAAAGAGUUUGCAUUGCAGUCUCGGUGGGACCGAUCACUCAUCUCGGUUGGACCGAAACGUUAUGAAGGGAAACAGAGAGAUUACAAUCCCAUCUCGGUGAGACCGAGAUCCCUAUCGGUGAGACCGAAAAGACUAGGGUUUGUGGCAGUGACUAUGACAUUUGAACUCGGUGGCGCCGGAUAGAAAUAAUCGGUGUGGCCGAGUUUGACUUUUGGUUUAGGUCAUAUGUGGAUGUGAGAAAGUAGUUGAGGGUUUUGGAGCAUCUCACUAAGCAUUUUGAGAAAGAACCUCAUUAAGCAACACCUCAUCCCUCCUUGAUAGUAUUGACUUUUCCUAUAGACUCAACGUGAUCUUGGAUCACUAAAAUGGAAAAAAUAGAGUCUUGUGCUUUGAGCUUGAGCCAAUCCUUUUGUCCUUAGCAUUUUGAGGGGUCCACUUUUCUCAUCCAUGCCAUGCCAAUCAUUGAGCUUUCCUAAAAUAUUUCCCUUGAAAUAGCAUUAGGUCAAUGAGCUAUAUGUUGUUAGGAAUUACCAAAACCAUCCAGGUAUAGUUGCACUUUCAGAAACUGACAGGCCAAGGCGUCCCUCACCAUGCUUGUUUCGUGGACUAUCUAGAACGAGCAAACCGCAAGAGUCUUGAAGUAGAAGAGCACACCACCGAUAAUAUUGCUUGCCUCCAUCACGACCGAGGCCAACCUUUGGAUCAUUGCCGGUGUGAAAAAACUAGGGUCCAUAAUUUGGCGAGAGUAAUCUCAUGUCGUGUAUUCGGGUUACUUGUAACAAACUCUAUCUCUCUUAUUUAAUAGAUGAAGCAAAGCUUUUGCCUCCGUUUAAAGAAAACUCGCUAGGGUUUCAAUCUAAACUUAGUUCCAUCCGUUAAGAUAUGGGAGCAUCACCCCAUCUCGACAAGCUAAAAGGCUCGCCGUGAGAGCACCAGACACUACUAGGAAAAGGCCUACUAAUGGCGCAUCCUUUUUGCCUACUAAUGGCGCACUACCGGUGCGCCAUUAGUAGCACGCCAUUAGAAUUUUUUACUAAUGGCGCACCACUGGUGCGCCAUUAGUAUCUGGUAUACUAAUGGCGCACCUGGCAGUGCGCCAUUAGUGUGUAAAUCCAUGCGCCAUUAGUAUGCCUCCCGGGGGGCCAGAUGUAAAACCAUGUGCUUUGUCACACUAAUGGCGCACUCUGCCUUGAUGCGCCAUUAGUAUCCUUCGGCAUAUUAAUGGCGCACUCUGCCUUGAUGCGCCAUUAGUAUGAAUUUUUUUUUUGAAUAUUUGGUUUUUUUUCUUUUCUGAUUUUUGCACAGGUUACAAAAUAUAUUAUUGGACAGAAUAUAGACAGCAGCACACAGCAACAUUAGAUUCAUCGAAUACAAUAGAAGAUUAGUCUCCGAAUACAAUUCAUCAUAUUAGUCUCCGAAUUCAAAAGACCAAACAAAGAUAAAACAUUACAAGUCUCAAGACCGCGAGUAUCGAGUUUGUCUUCACAUUACAAGUCGAUAUCGAUCAUCUAAACUACCAUCACAUAAAAGAGAGUUGUGGUCAUCACGAUGAGCAUCAUCGCGAUCAAACUGGUCCCCGACGCCACUAGGGAUUGUGUAAUCAGGAUCGGUGUCUUCCGCGGCGUCCUCAUAGCGGUGAGGUUGUUCCUCCAUCUCCUGGGACAGCUCCCAGAAUUGUUUGCCGCCCGAACCACCGGCCUCAUUGUUGUAGGCCAUGUUUCGCUCUAAAUAGGAAAAAAGUUUGGUCAAAAAGUUGGUUAUUGUCAAGGAACAAGAUCAUGGUCUCAUCAUUUAGGGUUUGUCGACACCGAGGCACCCUAAAAGCCUAAGCUUUCAUCAUUUAGGGUUUGUCGACGCCGAGGCACCCUAAAAGCCUAAGCGUACAUCAUUUAGGUUCUCAUCGACACUGAGGCAUCCGGGGCAGCCAAGUUAAGUUUUCAUCAUUUAGGGUUUAUCGAUGCCGAGGCACCCUAGGUUGGGCCUAAUCACUUGGCACUAAUCACUUGGCUCUAUUGCCACCUAUGUUGGGUUUAUCAUCUAGGGUUUAUCGAUGCUAAGGAGAAUUCUAAGUUGGGCCUAAUCACUUGGCUCUAUUGCCACCUAUGGUUUAAUGCAGCAAGGAAAAUUUCAGCAUGACCUUUGCUGAAAAUAGGACAUAUGGAGUACUCGAAUUUGCCGGAACAGAAGUUAAUCAACAUUCCGACAAACUCAAGGGCCUCUCGGGGUACCUGCAAAUUCAUCACGACACGAUGGUCGGAGACAUGACCUUUGCAAAAUGGUCGGAGACACGAUGGUCUUUCUCAAUGUGAUCAAUUGAUGGAUCAACACAUAAAACAUGUCCAAUAAGUAUGAUUUAUAGAGUCAACAUCAGUAUGAAUAUAUAUAAAGUUUUUCUUCAUCAGCCAGGCCCAUGCAAGUAACUGCAUCAGUAUGAAUAUAUAUAAACAAGCAAAGAAUGCAUGCAAGUUUAAAGUAAAACGUUUCAGUUAAUGCAAGUACUCCUCUUGCUCUCUACUUUCUCUCUUCUCUUCUUCAGUUAAUUAACUGAAUUUUACUGAUGUUGUUGUUAACUAAAUUUUAAUCAGCUGCUGAAGAACACCUUCAGUUUUGUCAGAUAUAGGUGUAGUUUUCAGAAACAAGAGGGCCCAUGUCUCCCCUCCUGGACGUUUCAGAAACAGGAGGGCCCACGUCUCCCCUCUAGAGUUUUCGAGGGCCCACGUCUCCCCUCGAAAGGGCAGGACGUUUGAGUUUUCGAGGCAACUCCCCAUGUCUCCCCUCCACUGGCAACUCCCCACGACGCCUCCUAUUCCAUUGCCACGUCCAGGUAACUCCCCUCCUAUUCCAUUGCCGCUCCAUCUUCCUCCCUCUGCCUCCCUCCUCAUUCCAUUGCCGCUCCAUCUUCCUCCCUCUACCUCCCUCUGCCUCCAGCAUCAAGCAACUCCCCUCUGCCUCCACCAUCGCUGGCCAGGAGGGCAAUGGCGGAGGAAUCGUGGAGCAACUCCCCUCCAUCUGCCAAGAGAAUGGCGGAGGCAUCGUGGAGCAACUCCCCUCCGUCUGCCAAGCAUCACCGUGGUGAGGCGUCUGGCAAGGAGCCGCUGGUGGUCGACGACGAUGUUCCGGUCCCCGGGCAGAAGCGGGACUACACCAUGCCGCUCAAGGUUGAUAUCCACCUGAAGGAGCCGCUGGAUGUCGUAUGCACCAGCAAUCCAGACGAAGCCGACAAGAUGAUCCACAAGAUGAGGAGGAGGCUCGGCGGCAUGCUUCAUCGGAAUAUCAGCGUUGAUGUCGAGUAUACCAGGGAAGACAAACCUCCGCAAAUUGCUGCAGUUCUGCAGUUAUGCAUGGAGGAUCUCGUCCUGGUAUACCACAUCACCGCGACAACCAAAUGGUAAAAACAUCCAGUUCUGAAGUUUCUGUCUAAUUAGUAGUUUCUGAAGUAGAUGCAAUAGUUAUGAAGUUCCGAAGUAGAUGCAUACUAGUUCUGAAGUUAUGAAGUUUCUGAAGUUCUGAAGUUUUGUUUUAAUUAGUAGUUUCUGAAGUUUUUGAAGUUUCUGAAGUUUCUGAAGUAGAUGCAAUAGUUCUGAAGUUCUGAAGUAGAUGCAAUACUAGUUCUGAAGUUACGAAGUUUCUGUCUAAUUAGUAGUUUUUUGGUGAUCAUACAGAAUGUUGUCUACAAGUUUUUGUGAUCAUUUAGUAGCUGUUAUGAAUGUUGUCUUGUAAUGCAAAAGAUUGCAAAAAAAUACAUCAUUGAGAUGUUAUGCUUGCUGUUUUGAUCAUACAGAAUGUUGUCUUGUAGUUGUUGUGAUCAUACUGUUUUAACUGAAUUUUGGUCAGAACUGAAGAUGCUAUUUUAACUGAAUUUUGCUUCAACUGGACCCAUUUUAAUUCUGUAGUUUCUGAAGUUUUUGAAGUAGAUGAAUUUGAUGCACCAGAUUAAUUUGAUGCAGGCCCAAGGAACUCCGCCCGCUCCUGCAAGAGAAGAAGCUGUACACCUUUGUUGGCUUCUGCAUUAGAGGCGACAAGGAGAAGCUGAAGUUGUCUGGUUUGGAUCAACCCCGACAAGUACGUCGACUUGCAGCGCAAAUGGAGAGUUCCAAACAAUGGAAAGAAGUGGCAGGCUUUGGCUGAGUUUGCAGCCAGCCUCAUCCACCCAUCCUACUCAAACAUGAAGCAGAAGAUCGACAGGAAUUUGGACCACCUACUAUGGGGGGACAGCCCACUGCCAAACAAGCUCAUCGAGUACACCGUGAAAGAUGCGUACGUCACCUACGAGGCAUGGAAGAAAAUCGAAAUCACCAAAGAAGGUUUGGAGCUCUGGCAAGAGGCGGAGGAAAAUUGGGAUGACCCCUACUACUGGGGAUAUUGAGUUGUUUGUGGUAUUGGGAUGACCCCUACUACUGUGUCUCAGUUUGUAGUUAUGUGGUUGAACAAGUUUGCUUUUGUUAUGUUGAACAAGUUUGCUUUUGUUAUGUUGAAUAAGUUUGCUUUUGUAAUGAUGAACAAGUUUGCUUUGGUUGUCAGUUGACAUCAUCUCAUCGCUGAGCAUGGUUUAGUUUUACCUUUAUCUAUUUAUUAUUUAGGCAGAGCUAUUCAGGCAUGGAAGAUAUAAUCAUCCUUAUGGUUACAAUGACACAUGAUCUUUCCAACCACAUAACUUAACUGCAAACAUUUCCCCUGUAAAUUGUAGUUACACAUUCCAACCAAUACCUGCAGGUUGUAAUUUCAUACUGAAUGACCAUCAAUGACUAAGUGAAGCAAAUAAUUGCUAUGCAAAUAAUUGCUAUAAUAAUCCUUGUAGUUACACAUUCUCCUCUUGCUCUCUACUUUCUCUCUUCUCCUCUUCAGUUAAUUAACUGAAUUUUACUGAUGUUGUUGUUAACUGAAUUUUACUAGUUAAACACAUUAUAACUUGAGUGUAACUCAGGACAAGUUAAACUUAAGCUAGAAGAUACAAGUUGAACACACACCAGGCAGUUUUUAUAAUAUUAUCAGAAAAAUAUCUUCAGUGUAACUCAGGACAAGAAAAAUCUCCACCAGAAUAGGACUAGCAUUUAAGAGUAAUUUCCUCCAGUCAAACAAAGUUCAAACAAAAACUGACAACAGUCUUUUGAUUAAGAGCCAAGUCACAACACUCUUUGAAGUUCAAACAAAAACUGACAACACUUGUUUGAUCUGUCUCCUCCAAGAAAGAGCCAAGUCAGUCUCACCCAACUAGGGAAACAUCAGUUAGACCACUAGCAAUUGGGAAUACACAACUGGGGCUAGGUUUGUGCUCUAGCUAGGCAGUAAAACAGAGCAUAUAGAGGCAUUGCCUGCCUCUGCUGCAAGUGGGGAUGUGAGCAGGAUUAUCACAAUUAGAUCACUAAUUUGCUGGAAUCUUAUUUACAAUUUUCUUCAAACUAGUUACCACUCACUAGUACAAUGUUUUCUAAACUGGUUGCCAUCAUCUCCCUUUUUAUCAUUUUGGUUAUGUGAAAUUAGUUAUAGUGAGUGGCCAAGCAAUCACUAGCAAUUUGUGCAUAACAAUUCCCGGUAGUUUUACUUGUAAGCCCCCCUCUUCUGGCAACCUAGUAAAAAAAUUAUACUACACAGGAAGCAUCUGUUUCCAUCUCUCUGUAUAAAGGUUUAGCAUUUGGCUGAAUUGACUGAACGAGAAAUGGGAAAAACUAACAACUCAAACAGAAUGAUGCCACUGCCGUUCGGCGCUACUGUUGGAUUGAAAUACUACAACCGGAAUCAACAGGAUUAUCGCUGGUUUGCUGGACAAACAGAGUGUUUGCAAGAAGGAAGAGGGGAGAGGAGGCGGAGCUCACCGGGGAGGCGCAAGGAGGCCCUGCGACAACUUAGUAGCAACAGAGGUGGCCGAAGUUGAGGAAGACAGCGGCGACCCGAGGAAGAAGAGGUGGAGGGGGAGGGGGGUGGAGGGGUCGAGCGCCGUCGCGCCCUGGUUCUGCGGCUCGCCGGCCCGGUGUUGAAGCAGAUUCUGNNNNNNNNNNNNNNNNNNNNNNNNNNNNNNNNNNNNNNNNNNNNNNNNNNNNNNNNNNNNNNNNNNNNNNNNNNNNNNNNNNNNNNNNNNNNNNNNNNNNNNNNNNNNNNNNNNNNNNNNNNNNNNNNNNNNNNNNNNNNNNNNNNNNNNNNNNNNNNNNNNNNNNNNNNNNNNNNNNNNNNNNNNNNNNNNNNNNNNNNNNNNNNNNNNNNNNNNNNNNNNNNNNNNNNNNNNNNNNNNNNNNNNNNNNNNNNNNNNNNNNNNNNNNNNNNNNNNNNNNNNNNNNNNNNNNNNNNNNNNNNNNNNNNNNNNNNNNNNNNNNNNNNNNNNNNNNNNNNNNNNNNNNNNNNNNNNNNNNNNNNNNNNNNNNNNNNNNNNNNNNNCUUGCCUGUCGCCUCGCACGGUGGAGCUCGAGGGCUGGGAAGGCGAGGGAGGGGGUGGGUGGGUGCGGUGAAGGCGAGGGAGGGGGUGGAUUGGGAGCGGACAGCGAUGGGGGGCAGGGCAGGGGCUGACUGGGGGCGGCGACGGAGACGGAGGCGCGGGGGCGGCGGCGGCGUGGGUCGGGGCAGCGCGCGGGUGGAUCUGGUGGCGAGGGAGAGAGGGUCGAAGGAAGGGAGGAUAGCUAGGGGGAGGGUUCUAAUGGCACACCGUCCAAUCGUGCGCCAUAAGUAUGACUAUUCUAAUGGAGCACCACACCACGGUGCGCCAUUAGAAUUUUGUUUUAAUCUAGCCCACUAACCAUAUCUACAACCUAACCCUAUCUACACCAGAACCCACCCACUAGCCCGACUGGUCAGCACGCAGCACACACACUAGGAGGUCUUGGGUUUGAUUCCCAGGCUCCCCAAUAUUUUUUUAUGCAUUUUAAAUGCUGUUUUUUAUAUUUAUUUGUGUUUAAAUAUGUUCAAACUUGUUUAAAUCAUAACAGUAAUAUAUUUUUAUAAAAACAGUAAUAAUUUUUUAAAAAAUAUGUUCAAAUUUCUUACUUGAAAAUAUCAUCGGCGGCGGCGGUGGAGCGGGGGAGGGUGCGGGGAUCGAGAUCGAGAUGGAGGGGGAAUCGAGAUCGAGAUGGAGGGGGAUCGAGAUCAAGAUGGAGGGGGAUCGAGAUCAAGUGUCCUCAUGAAUUCAAAAAGUGCCCAUGACAUUUAAAAAUAUUCAUGAUAUCAAAAAGUGCCCAUGAAAUACAAUCGAGAAAUGAAGACUACGAUCUUCUUGCCCUUCUUUUUCGCAAAUGGAGUUCUUCUGUCGAAUGGACGUCCUUUAGGUAGGGUGGUCCUGCUUCUUCUUGUGGUGUGUGCUGCUACUUCAUCGUCGUCGUCAUGUUCGAUCUUCGGGUUGCUGUACUUGUCGAAGUCUUGCUCAUUGGCUACUCCAUCCAUUCCGAUGAUCUUCCUUUUGCCUCUCCUCACGACAACACGACUGGGCUUUGGCGGGUCGGUAAUGAAGAAGCAUUGGUCCACUUAGGAAGCCAGUACCGAUGGCUCAUUUUUCGCGGUGACGUUUGCGCCCGCAGUCUUGGAUUUGGCUUCGGGUAUAAACACGACUGGGCUUUGGCAUAGUGCGCCGUUAGUAGGUUUGCAAAAAAGUAAAAAUAUAUAUAUACUAAUGGCGCACUGUCUCGGUCGUGCGCCAUUACUAGUUCUAACUAGUAAUGGCGCACUUUGCCAUCCCUGCGCCAUUAGUUUGUAUGGAAAAAUGGGGAAAAAAUCAAUAGUAAUGGCGCACCGUGAGCACGGUGCGCCAUUAGUGUCUUCCACACUAAUGACGCACGAGCAAUCCAUGCGCCAUUAGUAUAUAGUAGUGGCGCACUACUUACCUGGUGCGUCAUUAGAAUCAGUCCUAUCUAUAGCUCUUUUCCUAGUAGUGAGAAGGUGAUGGCCUAUCUGACACUAUCAACCCCAACAGGGAGACGAUGGCGUCGUUCGCCAUGCUCUCUUGGACCAUAUGGAGUGAAAGAAAUAGUACAUGUUUCUCCACCAUCGGUUCUUCUACUUAAUAUCCAGAAGAAGAAGAAGGCCCUUUGGAUGGCCAUGGCCCAUGGGUGUCAAUGAGUUGCCGCAAGAGUAAUCAUCUCUUUUUUUUUAAUCUUUGGGUGUGUUGUAAUACAAAUAGACUUUAUUUUUCUCUUAAUUAACAAACGAUGCAAAUCUUUUGCCGCUGUUUUUUUUAAAAAAAAAUCUGCACACCAGAUGGUUUUGCUGCUUCGAGCCCUGCACGACCAUCCCUGGCUACCACACCAGAAUAGAAUUGCAUUGAAUUGAAGUUUAGUGUCCACCUUCGCCCCCCAAGCCCCGAUCGACCUGUAUCCUGAAGCUCUACGUGCCGACGAUACAUGUCAGCAACGGGCAGGAACAAAAUCACUAAUCACCCGCCAUAAAAAAUGCAGGCACGCAACUUCUUCCAUCGAGGAUUUUUCAUCACCCAGGGAAGCACUGGGCUGGGGGUCUCCGCACCCCCAGAGUCGCACAUGAAUGGAACAAAAUCUGGUCGGUGCAGAUUUGCCUUCCCCAUCACCAAGGACCAAGCUGCUCCAAAGCCAGAGUUGCUUGCGACUGCACAUUUGUCACCACCACACGCACAUCACUGCAUGGGCUGGAGCAGGACAGGGCGGGGGAAGCAGAUGGUAGUGGCACGGAGGAUGCAAGAGGCUGCUCACUCCCCAUGGCCCAAGCCACCGUGCUUCUUUCAACGACAGUUUGUGUGCCGUGCAUGGACUUUGUAAUUGCGUGGGACGGCGCUGGCCCAUGGCGCGAUGAGUGCGUUCGCGGCAGAAAAAACAGUGCAGCCCCAUUGUCAUCUGCCUGUCCUUUGGCACAAAAAACAAUUGAACUAAUGCAUGGCUCAUGUGCCUGUCCUUUCUGAAUUUUCCUUCUCAUCUGCCUCAAUGAACCGUGGCUGGCAAUCGCAUCACGUUGCAUCUCGCAUGUGACCGCGGCAGAUUAAGUGCGCCAUUUGCCUGCUGGAUCCUUCGCAGCCUAGCCUACUAUACAGUACUCCUUCCGUCUCAAAAUAAGUGUCUUGAGCUUAGUACAAAUUUAUGCUAGAGCUAGUAUAAAGUUGGAGUUAAUUGCAAAAAACCACCACAUUUGGGGCUUCUUCUGCAGAAAACAACCUGGUCUCUAAUUAUUUGCAAAAAGCACCGCACAUUCGGUAAACUUUUUGCAAAAAGCAUUGAUCGCUUGAUUUGCAGCCUCUGAGGGCGUUUCCGACAGGUGGGACCCAAAAUAGGUGACGUGGUGUAAAGGCAAGGCGGACGGCGCCGUUACUCACUACCUGGUCAAACCGACGCGGUCGGCUCGCCCGACCGCACCAGCUCUCUCACAAAUCUCGCCCGCACUCUCUCUCCCUCCUUCGUGCUCCCACUCAUGGCGACGACGAAAUCCCGCGAUGGAGGCGCUGCUGAUGCUAGGUGCGGCGCUGAUGGAGAUCCGCCGGAGUUAUGUGGUAGCUCAAAUCCAUCUCAGCCGCCGCUUCCUCCCCAACUGCUCGCGGCAAACCCAUCAGUUGAAUCUGCGGCGGCGGCCGCGUUCGCCCGAGCUGUGAAGGAAGAUCCGACGGGCAGCCAAAACUGGGCAUCCUCGUUCGGCGGCGUCUGGUAAGUAAUGCAUCCGCGUUCUCCCUUUUUCCCCGAUUGGGUUUGUAGUUUAGGUUUCUAGGGUUAGGCUUCUCGGUUUAGGGUUGUAUGGUUAGGGUUCUAGGGUUAGGGUUGUAGGGCUGGUGUUCGUCCAGUUGGGUUUCUAGGGUUAGUGUUCUAGGGCUGCUGUUCCUGCGUUAGGGUUCUAGGGUUAACUGAAAUUUUGUCCAAAUAUUUAAAUGAACAUUUGUCUGAAUAUUUAGGGUAUUGAAGUGUUAAAUUUACUGUUUUAGUUGAAUUAGUAACUGAACACUAGUUAAUUGAACAUUUUACUGAAGUGUUACAUUAUAUGUUAAUUGAACAUUUGUCUGAAUAUUCAGCAAACUAAAGUGUUAAGUUUACUCAUCUGUCUGAAUAUUUAGUUAAUUGAAGUGUUACAUUUACUGUUUUAGUUGAAUUAGUAAUUUAACAUUUGUUAAUUGAACAUUUUACUGAAGUGUUAACUUAUCUGUUAACUUAACAUUUGUCUGAAGUGUUAAUUUUUUGGCAUUUAACUGAACUUGUAACUGAACAUUUUACUGUAAUUUUACUGAAGUGUUAACUUAUCUGUUAAUUGAAUAAUCUUUUAACUGAACUUUGAAUAUAACAUUUAAAGUAGCUUUGUACUGAAUAUUUUACUACAAUUUUGUUUGUAGUUUGGAUGAUGAAGUCUGGGAAGUCAGAUUUCAUUUCUUUGACAGAGAUAACUUUGAAAGAAAUAUAAGCCUGUCAGACAUAACUUUCUAGAAUCUAGUUGCACUUGUAGAGAUAGAAGGCUAUUCUUGUAGAGAUUAUAUGUAUUAUGUCAGAGAUCCAGGUGUUGGGGUGUCAGGAAUGGUAGAGUUAACAGAUGAUGACAAGGUGGAGGAGAUGCUGGAUGAGCUAGCUAGUAAAGGAGAAACUGUGGUUAAUAUUACAGUAAUGAGAAGUGAUGCUCCAACACCAGCUGAUUUGAACAGAGGCACUGUGUAUGAAGACCAAGUUCCUUUGUCUGAAAUAGGUGAGCCACUUGUGUAUCAGAUAGAUACAUCUGAAGUACUUUUCCCUAGUCCAGUGAAGCCACAACCAGAGCCAGUCCAGGUCAUGCACACACAUGAUAGCAUUGAACUAGAAUUUGUAGUCCACAAUGGUGAGGAGAGGCAUGCGUAUUUCAUGGUCAUUGAUCAGGAGCAAGAGCAAAUAGAGCAACAAAUGGAGGAGAAUAGGAAUAAAGAGAUUGAGAAGUUCGGGAGCAAUAAGAAAAGAAAAGAGAAAUACAGAGCAGCUAAAAGGAAACUUCCACAGUUGCUUGCUGAAGAUUGCACUGACAGUGAUACUGAUAGUGAGAUUCUAGCAGAUGAGGACAUAAUUGUUAGGCUAUAGGCAAUGAAGAAACAUAGAGAUGAUCCACUCAACCACUUUGAAGGGGACACUGAUGUUGAAGAGCUAUAUGAACCAGAUGAGGAGGAGGGAGUUCAUGAGGAUGAUAGGGUUAUUGCAUUUUGCAGUAGUGCAGAAUGCCCUUUUUUCAUUGCAGCCUCUCAGAUAGCACAUGAUAAGACAUUUUGCAUAAAGAAAAUGAACUUGUACCAUAAUUGUGCUGCAGUAGGAGAGAGCACCAAAGUAACUGCCAAAUGGUUGGCACAUGAGUGUGAGCAACAGUUGAGGACAGACAUUAACACACCAGUCCAAUCCAUAAUUGAGAAUUUGAAGCAGAAACAUGGCAUAGAAGUGUCCAUUCACAUGACCUACAAAGCAAGGAAAGUUGCUAAGAGUGUGGUGCAAGGAGAUCAAAGGGCACAGUAUACAAGGAUAAGGGAUUACCUCCAAGCUGUAUUGGAUACCAAUCCAGGAAGUAGAUGCAUUGUUAUAACAAAGCAUUUGAGGGCACAUCCUAGCAAGAAUCCUAGAUUCCAUGGCUUGUUCAUGUGCCUAAGUGCAUGCAAAGAGGGUUUCUUAAAUGGCUGCAGACCUUUCAUAGGUACUUAUUAUGCUAAUUGCUUGUUCAUAGGUACUUAUUGUGCUAAUUGCUUGUUCAUGUGCACUACUUUAUUUCUAAUGUGCUCUGUGUUGUUGUAGGUGUUGAUGGUGUUUUAUAAAGCUUACCACAGGGCAGCAAAUCUUGGCUGCAACAGGAAGAGAUGGUAAUAACAACAUUUUCCCUAUUGCAUUUGCAAUAGUUGACAAAGAAGACACCGCAAGCUGGUCCUGGUUUUUAACACAACUCAAGUAUGCCAUUGGUGGUGAGUCUGGGAAGUAUGGCUACUACACUAUCAUAUCUGAUAGACAAAAGGUAAAACCAAAAUCUGCUCCUCUACACUAUCAUAUCUGAUACACUAUCAUAUGUCAACAAGUGCCUUGUUAGUUACACUUUAGUUGUUUCAAACAGGAUCUUCUUAAAGCCAUAAAUAAUGUCUUUCCAAACUGCCCACAAAGAUUCUGCCUUAGACAUAUUUAUCAGAACUUUCAAACUGCUGGCUUUAGAGGUGAAGAGUUAAAGAAAUACAUGGAUCAGGCUAGCUAUUCAUAUACUGAGCAUGGAUAUGAUGUAGCAAUGGAUGGCAUGAAAAGAGAGUGUGAGGCAUCUUGGAAAUGGCUUAGUAAGAUUCCCAAACAUACAUGGGCUAGACAUGCCAUGGACAAUAAUUGUAAAACUGACUUGGUUGUCAACAAUAUUAGUGAAGUGUUUAACAACAUGAUACUUGAUGUCAGAGGCAAGCCAAUUAAAACUAUGGUUGAUGGGAUCAGAACUAAGUUGCUAGUUAAGUUCAACACAAAUAGAACUAAGACUGAGACAGCCAAGUGGCAGAUAUGCCCAACAUAUGCUGAAAAGCUGGAAGAAGCAAAACAUCAUUCAAGAUACUGUCAAUCUAUCAAAGCUGGACCUGAUCUAUACCAAGUUACACUACAAGAAACAUGUUAAUUCAUGACGGAUUUCUGGUGACGUUCCUUAGUUCGUCAUAGAAAUCGUCAUGAUUCAUCAAGAUAAGACUGGCCUGUGGAACGGUAGCCCCUUUAUGACGGCCACAGAGGAUCCGUCACGGAAUCCAUCAUGGAUCAACCAGUUGGACCAUCAAGUGCCGACGUGGCAUGUUGGGUGGAGUAGAGAACGAUCCUGCGUGAGUCAAAGCAUGCGUUUUGAUUGGUCAAUUCAACCCGCCCACGGAUCGAGCUCCCAGCCGUUCGAUUCCCCAACAUCCAACGGUUGUUACACAAUACAUAUCCUUUCUUCUCUCUCCCCUACCCCACAGCCGCCGGCCGCCUCCCCUACCACUUCUCUAGUGCCUUCCUCGCAUCUCCUCCAGCCGUUGACUUCCCCGAUCUCCGCCAUGCUUCCCCUCCCAGCUCCUCUCUCGUCGGAUUCUUCCAGUCAAGGCGCUCAGAGACCGCACCACCGGUGUGCCGUCCAGGCCGCGUGGGCGCACCGUCCGGGUAACCCACACCAUCUAGGGCCCGUGUACGGCCAGAUCCGGUGAUCUAGCAGGUGAAUCCACCAUACUAGCAACGUCGGCUGCUACCUCCUCUCCGACUACGACCACCCCACCACAUCAAUUUGAGCGCGCGACCCUCUGCUCCACCCAGCCGCCGCCCCAUCCAUGACCAGAACCAGCGAGAUGUCCACUUCCAGCCGCUAUUGACUUCCUAAUCUCGACGCCGCAUCGUCUGUUGGUGGAGGCAGCGACCGGAUCCGUCGAGGUCGCGCCGGGAUCCCGAGCUUUUGGUCCUCCCUGCCUUCUCCUUCAUCGACGGCAAGCAGCCUAAACGUGCAGGCCGCGCUUGACUGGCUAACUGCUCCAGCCAGAGGAAUGCGUUAGGUGCGACCCAACGCCGUGUGGUGCUGCCGUGCGCGACGUCGGCGGGCAUCGCCUCACCGUGGUGCCACUCCGAUAGCCAACACUGGCGCCCAACUCGGAUCUACUGAACCUAGGCGCUGGCUCCGGUGGGCAUGUGAUUCUGCGUUCAUCAGGAGAGCAUCCAGUCCCCUAUUUCUGAGAUUCAUUAUUAGUUCAUAUCUGCAUGCCAAUUCUUUGUUGUGAGAUUUGUUUGGCUGUGUUAGGUUCGCAAACUAGAGACUUAGAUGGCUUGAUUUGAGUUGGGAUGCUACUUCGGUCUUCAAGAGAUCUGGGCGGACAAAUCAACAGCUUCUCUCAUGGGCUCCGUUCUCCUAUGGUUUUCUGAUGGCUCAACGGCGACGAGAUGGAUGGACAAAUCAGCAGACUAGUUGCUGUAGAGAGAUUUUGAGGGAGCAGUUUUUUGUUUUUUACUAGUUUCUCUGCAAUAGGGAGCUGCUGUAAAUGUGUUUGUGUGCUUCAUUUUCAUUUUAUUUCUGGCUGUUAUUUUUCUUUGUGUGCGUUGUGUAAUAUUUUUAUUUAAUGAUAUGAGCAAAAAUCUUUUUUUUGACAUAUUUCUGCUAGAAAUCUCAACAGACAAAAAAUAACGUAUCUUGUCUAAAGAUGCUUCUAGUGGAAACUAGAUGGCAAAACUCUAAUUGGGCCACAACUAUAAUCAAUGGGCCGAGAUUCUAUUUGGACUGAUAAUAACAUGGGCCAAAACUAGAAAGUGGAACAAAAUCCUAAUGGGCCAUCAUGUCUGAUUCACGUUGGCUGCCAUGUCAGAUGAUGACGUGGCAUGCGCGCUAAUGCCGUUGUUAGCACGUCUGUUAAGUGGCAUCAAUGACGGUCAAGAGCCGUCAUGGAUCCAUGAUAAUCGAAUUAUGACGCGAUAUACAUGACGGACUUCAUGUCCGUCAUGGAUGAUCUUCCGUGAUGGUUUUUUACCGAUUUGUGACGGACCAGGACUGUCAUGGACUAACAAAAUUCUUGUAGUGUUACAAGUGGAGAAAGUGCAUAUGCAGUUAAUUUGCAAGCAUACACAUGUGGUUGUAGGAAAUGGGACAUGAUAGGGGUUCCUUGCAAUCAUUCAGUUUCUGCAAUCAACAAGGCAAAAUUACACCCAGAAGAUUUUGUCAAUGAUUUCUUCAAGAAACCCAUGUAUCAAGCAGCCUACAGUGCAAUAGUUUACCCUGUACCUGGGCCUGAUCUAUGGCCAAAGACUGGUACCCCUGACAUAGAGCCACCAGUUUUCAAAGAAAAGCCAGGAAAAAAACAAACUAAGAGGAGGAAGAGUAGGUUUAAGAAGCCAGCUCCCAAGGAUACUUCUAGGAUGGGUACAAUCACUUGUAGCAAUUGUAACCUGGCUGGGCAUAGGUACACUAGCUGCCACAAGACUCUUAAGCCAGCUCUGGCAAUGAGAAGGAACCAGCAUGAGGUAACUUUGUGACUAUCUUGUAAACUGUCUAUGUUUAUGCAAGUUUCCUAUCUUAUAUAAUUUGUCUAUGUUGUAAUUCCAGGAAAAUAGAAGAGUUGAAGCUGGGACAGCUCCAAGGGCACCAACAAGAGCCACAGCAACAGCAAGCAAAGCUCCAUCAGCUCCUCCUGCUCCAAGGGCACCCACAAGAGCUACACCAGCAGUACCAAGGGCAGCUCCAUCAGCUCCUCCUGCUCCAAGGGCACCCACAAGAGCUACACCAGCUGCAAACAAAGCUCCAUCAGCUCCAGCUGCAUCCAGGAGAGCUCCAAGGGCAGCUACUACUAGUGCAUCUUCUGCUGGGCCCAGUUCCUCUACAGCUGCUGGGCCAAGUACCUCUACUACUUCUGCUGCUAGGCAAAAGAAAAACUUCAUCCCUCCAAGACCAGCAGGUACUGGAAGAUUCAGAAAACCAUCUUUUAAGAUGGCUGAGUGGUUCAAUUGUUCUAAGGGAAGCAGGUAAGUUUGUGGUGUCCUGCUGAUGGUAAAAACAUUAUGAAGCAUGUUGCCUAUGUUGGCACGGUACUAUUUAUGGUUGUGUUGAACUCUGGAACUGGUGAUGCUUGAACUAUGUAUGGUUGUGUUGAACUAUUUAUGGUUGUGUUGAACUAUUAAUGGUUGUGGUGAACUAUGUAUGGUUGUGUUGAACUAUUUAUGGUUGUGUUGAAGACUAUGGUUGUGUUGAAGACUAUGAUGCAUGAUUGUUCUUAUGAUGCUAGUUAUGUUCAAGAUUUUUUGCAUGAGUACUGUUUAUAGUUAUGUUGAAGACUAUGAUGCUAGGUUAAAGUAGUCUUCAUCACAAACCAUAACAUAAAAUGAAAGAACACAUCAAAUGACCCAACUUAGUACUUAAGAUUCAUAGUUCCAGGACAUAACUUAGUCUUCAUCACAAAUAACCCAACUACAGAAUUAAUAGAGUUCAACACAGCCAAAGUUAACACAUUACAAGCUUUAGUCCAAAGCGAUUACAAAAGACAAUGACCCACAUGGUCAGACUACAACUCAACUUAGUCUUCAUCACAAAUAGUCUUAAUCUGGUGAAGCUUCCUCUUGUUACUAUCACCUGCUGUCUUGAGCUCAACAAUGCAGGAAGCAAGAGUACUCUUCUCCAUGGUCAACUUCUCCUUCUCUUUCAUCAGCUCAGCAAUGCAACUAUCCACCUGAUCCUUCUCUUUCUUCAGGUCAUCCUUCUCUUUCUUCAGGUCAUCCUUCUCUUUCUUCAGGUCAGCAUAGCAAAUCUCCAAAGUCCUCUUAUCAGAGCUCAUCUUUUCCUUCUCUUUGAGAUGCUUGAACUUCAAAUUCCUAAUGACAGUGGCUUGAGCUACAUGAAUUAACUUUAACUGGUCAUGAGCAACCUUCCAUUUUUUGAUCUCCUCAUCCUUUGCAAAGUUGCUGUCCACACUGAUUGUAAUGUUCUCAACAGCAUCAUUCAUCUAAUUUACCUCAGGCAGGUUAUCCUGUGAAUCUAGGAGGUUGUUAACAUCUUCAACAAGCUUCUCAUAUGUCUCCUGCAGAUCUUUUUUUGCUGUGUGAGUAUGUGUACAGUAGAUGAAUGAUCCAGGCAUGCCAUCCUAUUGUCAUGCUGGCUACGCUCAUACAUAAGCCACAGCUUGUGAAGAGCAUUCUGCAGAUGAUCUGGCCACUCCUCAUCUACCCACUGCACUAAUCCACAAUUAUUAGCACCCUCAAAAGAAGUUACAAAUUAAAUUAGUGACAAAAAAAUCAGUUAAGUUAAUGUACCACAUUCAGUUAGGUUAAAGUAGAAGAUUCAAUUAAGUUAAUUGAUCGGAUUCAGUUAAGUUAACUGAUCAGAUUCAGUUAAGUUAACUGACCAUAUUCAGUUAAGUUAAUCUACCAUAUUCAGUUAAGUCAAUCUACCAUAUUCAGUUAAGUUUAUCUACCGGAUUCGGUUAAUAAAGAGUUACUAUCAACCAUAGAACAGUUACUGCGAACCCUAGAACAGAACAUGAACAGUACCUAUGAACCCUAGAACAUGAACAGUAAAUAUGAACCCUAGAUGAUGAAUUGGACCGUUGCAAAGCUAGGACUAAAUACUUACUUCAGUGGCACAGGCAAUGAACCUCCUCCCAGUGCUUAUCCCCUCGAAUGCAACACAUUUCCUCCCUGGAUUCCCAUGCUCGCACAUCACCAUCAAAUCGUCAGCAGCACCCUCGAACAACGGGUCAUCAAUCGUGGCUGGGAUCUGGGCAAUCCAACACAAACUUGUUCAAAUCGAGCAGAACUACUAGUAGAACCCUAGAACACGAACUCCCUAGAACACAAAUGAGCGGCGGCCAAAACAAACAGAGAACCAGAGGAACAACUGACCUUCAGAGGGGAGUCGGGAGUGAGGUUGUACUGCGCGGCGGAGCCAUCAGUGCUUUCGCUCUCGCUCCAGGACACCAUGGCGGCCCGCGACUGCCGGAGAGGAAGAGGAGCACGAGGGAGCGAGAGAGUGCGGGGGAGAUUUGUGAGAGAGCUGGUGCGGUCGGGCGAGCCGACCGCGUCGGUUUGACCAGGUAGUGAGUAACGGCGCCGUCCGCCUCGCCGUUACGCCACGUCACCUAUUUUGGGUCCCACCUGUCGGAAACGCCCUCAGAGGCUCCAAAUCAAGCGAACAGUGCUUUUUGCAAAAGGUUUACCGAAUGCGCGGUGUUUUUUGCAAAUGAUUAUAGACCAGGUUGUUUUCUGCAGAAGAAGCCCCAAAUGUGGUGGUUUUUUACAAUUAACUCACAAAGUUGAGACACUUAUUUUGGGACGGAGGGAGUAGUAGUAUUUAGCUAAAGUAGGGUUGCUUUGAGAGAGGACUAAUGAUUUGCUCUAAAAAAGAAGAGAGGAAUGAUUGCUCUUCCUUUGGAGAAAAGGCUAAAAAGAAGGUCCAGAUGCAUGGUCGGUUGGCCGUUCAUUAUAUGUAUACAAUGGAGAUACGCAUGCAAUCAUUUUCGUGUAAAAAACGCUCUUAUAUUAUGGGACGGAGGGAGUAGCUAACUAAUCUCUGCAUAACUAAUUUCAGACACGAUCUAGUGCUUCUGUUAUAUCGCAAGUCUAAUCCCCCAUCAUCCGGCCAUCAGUGGAUCUAUUUGAUAAUGAUACCCCUCAGGACUCGAUCAGGACAGCGUAUCUUCAGACGAACGUGUAUAAAAAUCCUGCACGAGCAACAAUGUAUUCAGUAGCAAACGGACAGCAGGAGGAUGCUACAAGAGUGAUAGAUGUCAUCAUGGUUGCUGAUCGAUCGAGCUCAUCGCUUUCCGCUUGUUUAGCGCAGCGAAAUUCUCUGACUCUGACUUGACCACACUGAUCAAGCAGGACCAUGUGGAUAUGUUCCUCUGUCGUCAUCGACAGGGACUCGCUAACAGAUCCUCCCAUUAGCAGCAACUACUGCUGCGACAAACCUUCUGUUUGAUUGACAAAAAUGCAUGCAGCUGCGUCAGCAAAUACUUUCCAACCCCCGUCCCCGAGCUUUCCUAAAUCCUAAAAGUAAAGGGCGGCGAUCGAAGUAGAAGUACCAACGGCACAAUGUCAUGAGCCUUCUCAGCUCUCAGCUGAUUCAUCAUGGGGGGAUUAGCCUCCUUCUGAAAUGGCUAUUCUUCACAAAGGAUAUACUAGUUUAAUUCACAUGAUCUUACCGCAAAAAUAAAAUAAAAUAAUAAUUCACAGGAUCCGCGAUGGCUCCUCUUGAUCGGACCAGCAUCUUGCAUGGAGAAUGCCAUGGAUGGGUGCAGAGAGGGGGAAGGUAGGGUAGAUAGCAUGGAGUCAGGGGCAUUAAGUUGUUGGGAGACCAUGCAUGACGCUGGACCCUAGAACUCACUAGCUCCUGCCAAGCGAGGCUUUGCGGCGCCCAAUGGUGAUGGUGGCCGAUCAUUAGCCCGCCGUUUAAGCAACGUUGACGAACUGCUCCAUAGCCAAGAUCUGGAUCCCAGGUUUUCGUCGCGACGACAUUGCAAGCAAAUCUACUUGGAUAGUUGGAUUAAUGCUCUUGUUCUCUAGUUCGAAGUUUGUUCGGAUUGAAAUAUGGUAGUACAGUCGCGGCCAUGGUGAUGAUAGUGGCUGCUCCCCAGGGCCCAAGCCACCAUGCAUGCUUUUUUGCAACAACAGUUUGUGUGUCAUGGACUUCGCAAUUGUGCGUGUGCCGGCCCAUGGCGUGAUGACUGAUGAGUGCACUUGCAGAAAAACAAUCGAACUCAUGCACAGUCACUCCAUCAUGUCAGCAUCUUUUCUGAAUUUUUCCUCCUCCUCUCUAGAUGAACGAACCGUGGCUGGCAAUCACAUAGCAUCGCCGGUGACCGCGCGGCAGGUUACGUGCACCGUUGCCUGCUGGAUUCUUCGUAACCUAGCCUAGCUAAGGUAGCAUCGCCUUGAGAGCGGACUAAUGUAAUGGUUUUCUCCUACUUUGGACAAGAGGCUAAAAAGAAGCCCAAGGUAUAGUGCUCCUGUCAUCAGUACAAGAGAUCAAGGUACUACAGUAGAUGUCAUAAUCCUAUCUUAAUCUAUUAGUAGUAUUAAUUCGAUCAUACACUGUUAAUAAAACAUCUAGUGCUCUUGUGACCUCUCAAGCGCACGUAAACCCCAUCAUUCGGCUAUCAGUGUAUCUGAUAUCCACAUCACCACAUCAGGACAACAUAUCAGGCAAACGUGCAUACGAUAAUUCUGCACGAGAGACGACAGGGUGCUACAAGAGUGUGCGUGAGGUGAGACGCCAUCAUCAUCAUGGCUGCCGAUCGAUCGAGCUCGUCGCUUUUCCGCUUGGUUAGCGCAGCGAAAUUCUCUGUCUUGACCACACACACUAAGCAGGACCACGUAUAUGCGCUUGUCUGUGUCUGACAGGGACUCACUAACAGAUCCUUCCAUUAGCAACUACUACAAGCCUUUGGGCCAUGCAGCUUCCAUUGUCAGCAAAUCCUUUUCAACUCCCGCUGAAGAGAGCUUUUGCUUUAUUCUUCUUUCGAUCUAAUCUAAUCUCCAUGCAAAAUCAGUCACAUGAUCCACCUGCCUGAAAGGUGAUCCACGAUGGCACCAUCGCCAUCUUGCAUGUGGCUAGCAUGGAGUCGUUGGGAGACCGGGAGGAGAGAGGCUGGACCUAGAGCUCACUAGCUCCUGCCAUGCAACGGUUCGGUUUGCGGCCGAGAUGGUGGUGGUGGUGGUGUCUGCGUCGAUCAUUAGCCCGCCGUUUAAGCAACCUGAAGAGCUGCUCCAUUGCAAAGAUCUGGAUCUCAGGUAGGUUUUCGUCGCAACUGAAAUCGCAAGCAAGUGGGCUGCAAAUGUACUUGUUCUCUCUGUCUUAAACAUGAAAACUUCAGAUGUUUUUUUUUCUUUUGAAAAACAAGGACAAAAGCUUUGCCACCUUUUUCAUUAGUUAAGAAAGAAGUUUAGACAUGAAAGAAAAAAAAA